AUUGAACGCUGGCGGCAUGCUUUACACAUGCAAGUCGAACGGUAACAGGGUGCUUGCACCGCUGACGAGUGGCGAACGGGUGAGUAAUGCGUCGGAACGUGCCGAGUAGUGGGGGAUAACGCAGCGAAAGUUGUGCUAGUACCGCAUACGUACUGAGGUAGAAAGUGGGGGACCUUCGGGCCUCACGCUAUUCGAGCGGCCGACGUCUGAUUAGCUAGUAGGUGAGGUAAAGGCUCACCUAGGCGACGAUCAGUAACGGGUCUGAGAGGAUGAUCCGCCACACUGGGACUGAGACACGGCCCAGACUCCUACGGGAGGCAGCAGUGGGGAAUUUUGGACAAUGGGCGAAAGCCUGAUCCAGCCAUGCCGCGUGUCUGAAGAAGGCCUUCGGGUUGUAAAGGACUUUUGUCAGGGAGGAAAUCCCUAGUGCUAAUAACACUGGGGGAUGACAGUACCUGAAGAAUAAGCACCGGCUAACUACGUGCCAGCCGCCGCAGUAA
rnacentral:rRNA from 1 species